CUCUUAUCCAGAGAGGCGGAGGGACCGGCCCUGUGAAGCCUCGGCAACCUGCCGGGUGAACGUUCCCGGUGUGGUGCCAACUCCGGCAGAGAACGCUCUGGAAGAUGAGAG
rnacentral:ncRNA from 2 species